CAUAGGCCUAUUGCUAUACUAGUCUACGGGAACACACAUUCCAUUGUCCACUGCUGUCCUAUACUCUACAGAAAUACACAUUCACAUUCACACCACCUAUGGCACUCUAACAAACACAGUUCACAUGCUGAUUAUAUAGUGCACUCUAUAGAAAUAUCCAUUCAAAUGCCCACUGCCAUCACUGCAUUAUACAGAAACACACAUUCACAUCCCCACAAGUGUCCUUCAUUCUACACAAAAACACAUUCACAUGCACACUGCCAUCCCUGCACUCUACAGAAACACAAAUUCACAUGUCCACUGCU
rnacentral:lncRNA from 1 species